UGGUGCCCGCAGCCGCGGUAAUUCCAGCUCCAAUAGCGUAUAUUAAAGUUGUUGCAGUUAAAAAGCUCGUAGUUGAAUUUCGGGAUUUGUCCGUUGGUCGGGCUUCACUGUCCGUACUGGCGUGAUGGAUUCCUACCUUCUGAAGAACCAUCAUGCUUAUUAAUUUGGUGCGGUGGGAAACCAGAACUUUUACCUUGAAAAAAUUAGAGUG
rnacentral:rRNA from 1 species